CAGAUUGUAGCUUAUAUUAAAGUGUUUUAUUUACAUUAAUUUGAAAAUUUUUUUAAUUCUUUCUGA
rnacentral:tRNA from 1 species